GGACCUCUAAUCGGAAAAGA
rnacentral:rRNA from 4 species